rnacentral:rRNA from 1 species
UACGUAGGGAGCGAGCGUUGUCCGGAUUUAUUGGGUUUAAAGGGUGCGUAGGCGGACGCUUAAGUCAGCGGUAAAAUUGCGGGGCUCAACCUCGUCGAGCCGUUGAAACUGGGUGUCUUGAGUGGGCGAGAAGUACGCGGAAUGCGUGGUGUAGCGGUGAAAUGCAUAGAUAUCACGCAGAACUCCGAUUGCGAAGGCAGCGUACCGGCGCCCAACUGACGCUGAAGCACGAAGGCGUGGGUAUCGAACAGG